AAUGAACGCUGGCGGUAGGCCUAACACAUGCAAGUCGAACGGAUCCUUCGGGAUUAGUGGCGGACGGGUGAGUAUCGCGUGGGAACAUACCCUUUGGUACGGAAUAGCCUCGGGAAACUGGGGGUAAUACCGUAUGUGGUCGAGAGACGAAAGAUUUAUCGCCAAAGGAUUGGCCCGCGUUGGAUUAGGUAGUUGGUGGGGUAAUGGCCUACCAAGCCGACGAUCCAUAGCUGGUUUGAGAGGAUGAUCAGCCACACUGGGACUGAGACACGGCCCAGACUCCUACGGGAGGCAGCAGUGGGGAAUCUUAGACAAUGGGGGAAACCCUGAUCUAGCCAUGCCGCGUGAUCGAUGAAGGCCUUAGGGUUGUAAAGAUCUUUCAGGUGGGAAGAUAAUGACUGUACCACCAGAAGAAGCCCCGGCUAACUCCGUGCCAGCAGCCGCCGUAA
rnacentral:rRNA from 1 species